rnacentral:rRNA from 1 species
UAGAGAACUCGACCGUCAAUAUAAGAUAGCCAUACAUACCGCUUCU